UUCUAUUUAAAAAAUAUUAUCGGUCACUGGAUGAGAAGACACUGCAGACGAUAAUCAUGAUGUUGUCUUGUAAUUCAACAGCAAAUGACAGAAGAGUCGUACGACUAUGAAUUAGUGUUAAUUAAAGACGACUCAUCAUAAGGCACUGUGUCACGAUCUCGCCAGCAGAUGGCGCUGUGGCGAUGAUGUGCACAGAGACCGCGCCUGCAUGAACCAGAGCGAGCACAUGCUCGUGCGUCACACAGAGACUUUGUUUACAAUGGACAUGUGUGUUUGUUUCUGUUUUCUGCUUGUUUAGCCAUUGGUUGAUUAACGAGGGAAUGUAAGGAUUGUUACCAGCUGUUAACACUCGAGGUCGGAUGGAUGGAUGGAUGGAUGGAUGGAUGGAUGGAUGGAUGGAAGGAAGGAAGGAAGGAAGGAAGGAAGGAAGGAAGGAAGGAAGGAAGGAUGGAUGGAAGGAUGGAUGGAUGGAUGGAUGGAUGGAAGGAUGGAUGGAUGGAUGGAUGGAUGGAAGGAAGGAAGGAAGGAAGGAAGGAUGGAAGGAAGCAAGCAAGCAAGCAAGCAAGCAAGCAAGCAAUGUUACGCCACGACUCCAGGUAAAACAUGUACCUUAGCUGCAGCAAUAGAAGCGGACAUCAUUAAGAGAUGUAUCAUCCCAUAUGCCCUGAGGUGGGUCCACUUUCGUUUGGAUCCCACAAAUCCCAGUUCCAUCACAAACUGAGCUCCAGGUACCCCAGCUACCCCAGCUCAUUCCACUGCCUUCCAACACAUUGCCUCCGGUGCACAUGAACCUGGAAUUUUUGGUUAUAAAUACAUGCCUUGUUAUCAUUUUUUAGUCACUUUUCUUUAUCAAACACACUUGGGUUAGGAACAAGACAUGACCAAAUUUGUCACAAUGUUUAUGCAGUCACAAUGUUUAUGCAGUAAGUCAUCAAUUUAUUUCAUUAAAAACAAGAUCAGAUUUCCCAACAGCCACUGCACCAUAUUACAUUGUCACAUGACCAUCUGUAUCAUGUUUAAAUAGCACGCAUAUAUAUAUAUAUAUAUAUAUAUAUAUAUAUAUAUAUAUAUAUAUAUAUAUAUAUAUAUAUAUAUAUAAAAAAUAAUAUAGCCACUGUUUGUACUGCUUCCUCGUCUUAUGUAUUGUCUAUCCAUGCUUUUGUCCAUGCGUCAAUGUUUAGUUUUGCCUCGUGUUAUUGUGUCUUUGUUUUUUGUCUGUUUGUUUAUUCAAUGUUUGAAAUCUGCGUUGCUUUGGUCAUCCAUUUUUGUGACAUGACAAAGACAUGACCAAAUUUGUCACAAUGUUUAUGCAGUAAGUCAUCAAUUUAUUUCAUUAAAAACAUGAUCAGAUUAUAGUUACAGAUAAAAUGAUUUGUGAAUACCAGGUUCAUCAAAUCUUAGCUUUUUAUUACUUUUUUGAGACAAUAUCAGAUGUGUGGAUUAUUGUUUAAUUAAUUACCUUAUGUUGUUAGCAGCGGUGUCAUCAAAAAACACUCCCUGAUAACUGUCCACUCGCAGCUGGAAAGAUUUGAGUACUCCACUGGGGCACCAGAUGUUCUGUGUCCAGGUUCCCCAACUGUAAAAACAACAGUUACUGCUACUAAUACUACUAAUGCUAUUACUACUACCACCACUACUACUUCAAAUACUCCUCAAAUACUCCUCCUCCUCCUCUAUUACUGCUGCUACUACUACUACUACUACUACUACUACUACUAUAAUACAACUGCUCCUGGUUCAGUGAUCUAUGUGAUAGAUAAUAUGGAUCAUAUGUUCAGUGAUCCAAUCGUAUGGACUUUGGUCUUCUAUUCUGACUUUUGAAUUAUGACAUUGAAUCGCAUUGUAUCUUCUGUAGGUCCUGUAAAUAUAUCUAUAUAAUAUUCAGUA